UAAACAUACCUGGUACCCCAGUCAUCCAUGUACAGUAAACAUACCAGGUGCCCCAGUCAUCCAUGUACAAUAAACAUACCAGGUACCCCAGUCAUCCAUGUACAAUAAACAUACCAGGUACCCCAGUCCUCCAUGUACAGUAAACAUACCAGGUGCCCCAGUCAUCCAUGUACAAUAAACAUACCAGGUACCCCAGUCAUCCAUGUACAAUAAACAUACCAGGUACCCCAGUCAUCCAUGUACAAUAAACAUACCAGG